UACGUAGGGGGCAAGCGUUGUCCGGAUUUAUUGGGCGUAAAGCGCUCGCAGGUGGUUCAUUGCGUCGUGCGUGAAAGACCCCGGCUCAACUGGGGAGGGUCGUGCGAAACGGGUGAACUAGAGGCCAGUAGGGGGAUGCGGAAUUCCCGGUGUAGCGGUGAAAUGCGCAGAUAUCUGGAGGAACACCGGUGGCGAAGGCGGCAUCCUGGACCGAGAUUGACGCUGAUGCGCGAAAGCCAGGGGAGCAAACGGG
rnacentral:rRNA from 1 species